UUCCGUAGGUGAACCUGCGGAGGGAUCAUUACUGAGUUUACGCUCUACAACCCUUUGUGAACAUACCUAUAACUGUUGCUUCGGCGGGUAGGGUCUCCGCGACCCUCCCGGCCUCCCGCCUCCGGGCGGGUCGGCGCCCGCCGGAGGAUAACCAAACUCUGAUUUAACGACGUUUCUUCUGAGUGGUACAAGCAAAUAAUCAAAACUUUUAACAACGGAUCUCUUGGUUCUGGCAUCGAUGAAGAACGCAGCGAAAUGCGAUAAGUAAUGUGAAUUGCAGAAUUCAGUGAAUCAUCGAAUCUUUGAACGCACAUUGCGCCCGCCAGCAUUCUGGCGGGCAUGCCUGUUCGAGCGUCAUUUCAACCCUCAAGCUCUGCUUGGUGUUGGGGCCCUACAGCUGAUGUAGGCCCUCAAAGGUAGUGGCGGACCCUCUCGGAGCCUCCUUUGCGUAGUAACUUUACGUCUCGCACUGGGAUCCGGAGGGACUCUUGCCGUAAAACCCCCAAUUUUCCAAAGGUUGA
rnacentral:rRNA from 1 species